GGUUUGUAUGGGCUGCAGCCUGCCGCUGAGCUGCAUCAUGGUGCGGUCUGUGGCCUGGGCAGGUUUCAUGGUCCUGCUGAUGAUCCCAUGGGGCUCUGCUGCAAAACUGGUCUGCUACUUCACCAACUGGGCCCAGUACAGACAGGGGGAGGCUCGCUUCCUGCCCAAGGACUUGGACCCCAGCCUUUGCACCCACCUCAUCUACGCCUUCGCUGGCAUGACCAACCACCAGCUGAGCACCACUGAGUGGAAUGACGAGACUCUCUACCAGGAGUUCAAUGGCCUGAAGAAGAUGAAUCCCAAGCUGAAGACCCUGUUAGCCAUCGGAGGCUGGAAUUUCGGCACUCAGAAGUUCACAGAUAUGGUAGCCACGGCCAACAACCGUCAGACCUUUGUCAACUCGGCCAUCAGGUUUCUGCGCAAAUACAGCUUUGACGGCCUUGACCUUGACUGGGAGUACCCAGGAAGCCAGGGGAGCCCUGCCGUAGACAAGGAGCGCUUCACAACCCUGGUACAGGACUUGGCCAAUGCCUUCCAGCAGGAAGCCCAGACCUCAGGGAAGGAACGCCUUCUUCUGAGUGCAGCGGUUCCAGCUGGGCAGACCUAUGUGGAUGCUGGAUACGAGGUGGACAAAAUCGCCCAGAACCUGGAUUUUGUCAACCUUAUGGCCUACGACUUCCAUGGCUCUUGGGAGAAGGUCACGGGACAUAACAGCCCCCUCUACAAGAGGCAAGAAGAGAGUGGUGCAGCAGCCAGCCUCAACGUGGAUGCUGCUGUGCAACAGUGGCUGCAGAAGGGGACCCCUGCCAGCAAGCUGAUCCUUGGCAUGCCUACCUACGGACGCUCCUUCACACUGGCCUCCUCAUCAGACACCAGAGUGGGGGCCCCAGCCACAGGGUCUGGCACUCCAGGCCCCUUCACCAAGGAAGGAGGGAUGCUGGCCUACUAUGAAGUCUGCUCCUGGAAGGGGGCCACCAAACAGAGAAUCCAGGAUCAGAAGGUGCCCUACAUCUUCCGGGACAACCAGUGGGUGGGCUUUGAUGAUGUGGAGAGCUUCAAAACCAAGGUCAUGCUUACGUUAAGACAAGGAGACUGCAAAAUGACUGAUGUCCAAGCAGCAUGAGGACUCAGCAUCCAGGCUCCCAGCCCAAGGCUGUCUCCAGAAUCUACAGCCACUCACAGGCCUGAGGCUGCUGGAGCAAAAAGGGCCCUGUCCAGAAGAGGUCAGCUAUCUGAAGCAGAAGGGACUGGGCGGGGCCAUGGUCUGGGCACUGGACUUAGAUGACUUUGCCGGCUUCUCCUGCAACCAGGGCCGAUACCCCCUCAUCCAGACGCUACGGCAGGAACUGAAUGGGUAAAGCCUUAACUGCCUGUCACAUGUGAGGCCAGGUGUUGCCUGUGGCACUGUGCUUCAGCUGUAGGUCUUCCAUACUUGCCUUCAGGCACCCCAGAGCUUGAAGUUCCAAAACCAGGUCAGCCCUCUGAACCUGAGCAUGGCCCCAGCCCUGGACAAGACACGUUCUGCCAGGGCAAAGCUGAUGGGCUCUAUCCCAAUCCUCGGGAACGGUCCAGCUUCUACAGCUGUGCAGCGGGGCGGCUGUUCCAGCAAAGCUGCCCGACAGGCCUGGUGUUCAGCAACUCCUGCAAAUGCUGCACCUGGAAUUGAGUCGCUAAAGCCCCUCCAGUCCCAGCUUUGAGGCUGGGCCCAGGAUCACUCUACAGCCUGCCUCCUGGGUUUUCCCUGGGGGCCGCAAUCUGGCUCCUGCAGGCCUUUCUGUGGUCUUCCUUUAUCCAGGCUUUCUGCUCUCAGCCUUGCCUUCCUUUUUUCUGGGUCUCCUGGGCUGCCCCUUUCACUUGCAAAAUAAAUCUUUGGUUUGUGCCCCUCUUCCCAAAGAUGUGGUGACUUAAGAGGCUCUCUAAGCACACUGUUGACUCCAAAACAUCCGCAGGUCAGAGCCAGGUGGGAAGGUGGUCCGUGCAGGAUGUGCCAGGCCCUGUGGCAGGUCUUGCCCCAUGAGUCCAUAUGCCAGUGGGCAGUUUCCAGUACACAGGUGAUGGCAGCCAGAGCGCGGCCCCAAGUGCAACACGUUCUUUGGUUAUUGGCUCAGAAGCCUGGAAACAGGAGCUUCUGCGGACCUUCACGCACGUGUUAUUCCCAAAAUGCCACUAGAUGGCAGCAGAGAAGAACUUUUCCCUGAUUUAAGCGCUCUGCGAGCAGCCACUCAGCAUUACACUAAGAAUUCAGACCCCUGGUACUCAGGGGUCUUCGAGAUAAAUCCUGUUUGGGCCCUUUGCAGGCCCUAUCUCACCUACUGCCCCCGUUCACCAGAUGAAGAAGGAACAAUGAUUAUUCUCACUUUAUAGGCAUUUAAACUGAAGACUGAUUCUAACCAAUUCUGAGUCCAGAACCAAGGCCUGAAAUGGGCCAGAGAGCAUGCACACGGUGUCCUGGUUAAAUAAAGUCAUCCCAACAUUC